rnacentral:lncRNA from 1 species
AAGGGGUAUCCCAACCCUUUUACACUUACCAGAACACAUAAUAAUACCAAAAUAAAAGAACACCCAAACAGAGGAAGAUAUAUGUUGUUUACUGCUUAAGACUAGGGAACCUUACACCAGAAAACACCUUGGCUCUACUAGCUGCUAAAAGGAAGGCAUACAGCACCCACAAAAAGACCCUUCAGGGUUUCCCGAAGGGAAUAGGUACCUUCAGUACCAUAAAUCUUCCUCUCCGUCUUCCUAUAGCUCCAUAUUGGGCAUUGGUUCCACCCUUUAGGACUUACAUAUGGUCUUUUCAACAGACACAACUAAUGUCCACAAAACAAGAAGUAAGCAACUAAUCAGAUUUUCACGACCAAUUCCAAGAUUUCACGCAUCAGAACACAUAGAACCAGCAACUCCCUGUUACUGUUGUACAACAAAAGGCGGAGCAGAAGCUUAAAUAACUUAGAGCACCAGUAAAUUAGCGUAUGAACAUUGGUGUAGGAGUCGGC